rnacentral:rRNA from 1 species
UACGUAGGGGGCAAGCGUUGUCCGGAUUCAUUGGGCGUAAAGAGCGUGUAGGCGGCCAGGUAGGUCGGUUGUGAAAACUGGAGGCUCAACCUUCAGAGGUCGACCGAAACCAUCUGGCUAGAGUCCGGGAGAGGUGAGUGGAACUGCGAGUGUAGAGGUGAAAUUCGUAGAUAUUCGCAAGAACACCAGUGGCGAAGGCGGCUCACUGGCCCGGUACUGACGCUGAGGUGCGAAAGCGUGGGGAGCAAACAGG